UACAGAGGUCCCAAGCGUUGUUCGGAUUCACUGGGCGUAAAGGGUGCGUAGGUGGUAAGGUAAGUCAGGUGUGAAAUCUCCGGGCUCAACCCGGAAAUGGCAUUCGAUACUACCUUGCUAGAGGGUUUGAGGGGGGACUGGAAUACUUGGUGUAGCAGUGAAAUGCGUAGAUAUCAAGUGGAACACCAGUGGCGAAGGCGAGUCCCUGGAAAACUCCUGACACUGAGGCACGAAAGCUAGGGGAGCAAACAGG
rnacentral:rRNA from 1 species